rnacentral:rRNA from 1 species
ACGAACGCUGGCGGCGUGCUUCACACAUGCAAGUCGAACGGAAAGGCCCUGCUUUUGUGGGGUGCUCGAGUGGCGAACGGGUGAGUAACACGUGAGUAACCUGCCCUUGACUUUGGGAUAACUUCAGGAAACUGGGGCUAAUACCGGAUAGGAGCUCCUGCUGCAUGGUGGGGGUUGGAAAGUUUCGGCGGUUGGGGAUGGACUCGCGGCUUAUCAGCUUGUUGGUGGGGUAGUGGCUUACCAAGGCUUUGACGGGUAGCCGGCCUGAGAGGGUGACCGGCCACAUUGGUACUGAGAGACGGACCAGACUCCUACGGGAGGCAGCAGUGGGGAAUAUUGCACAAUGAGCGGAAGCCUGAUGCAGCAACGCCGCGUGCGGGAUGACGGCCUUCGGGUUGUAAACCGCUUUCGCCUGUGACGAAGCGUGAGUGACGGUAAUGGGUAAAGAAGCACCGGCUAACUACGUG